UAAAAUAACAGGCUUGGUUUAAUAGGAGGAGAGAUAUGUGGACGGGGAAUGUAUUAAAGCUGUGAAAGCAUUCACACCAGUGUCACGGACAGACGUCACUUCAGUCUGACUCAAACUGGCUUCUUUCUUUUUUAUACAUGAAAAUGAUUCACUCGGCCGGAUCUCUGCCCUGCUUGCUUAUUACAGUUAAUUUCACUCACCUGGUGAGCGACUGUCACUGAUUAGAUGGUGAGACGAGGCCCAGCAGGACUCGCCGACACCGCUGCAUCUCUGAAAUAAUCUGCAGCCAUUAUUUUCAAGGACAAGCUGUUCAUAUUUUACAUACUUGUGCUGUUCGGUGAAGAUUAGUUUUUCGGUGCGGCUAAAUCACAGGUAUGAGCCACGAGGGUAGGACGCCUGACGAAUCUUCUUCUGUUGGACUUCUGGCAGGUCGCAAAUCGAGGAGUUAAUUUCAGUCACCCUGUCAGUAAUGAUGCGUCAGCAGAGAGUCGCGCAGCCUGAGGCGAGUUUCCUGGAGUCAGAGCGCCCUCUGCUGUUUAACAGCAAACACUGAAACUGCAAAAACAGUCGUUGGUAAAUGGAUUGCAGAGAACCGCACACUGUUGUAAUAAACACCAGCACCACUGAUCUGGACCCUCCUGGGAUCAACACUCUCAUCUCAUCACGCCUUUUGGGCAUUUUGGUCAUCCAAGCAGGGCUCUCAGAGACGAGACGGGAAGCGGUUGUGGGGUAAAAGGGAGCAUAAUUGCUUCGAAUGCGAGUUGAAAACUGCAAAGCCAUCAGACUGGAGUCAGCUGAGCGGAGCAGACUGUGUCUUCAUUAACCUCCUCUACCUCAGCAGAUAGGACUGCAAGUAUUACCUGAUGCACUGUUUAACAAAUAAUUUCUACUGUUAAUAACACCAAAUUGGCAAAACUUAAAGAAAUGCAGGCUUAAAAGGUGUAUCUGACAUUACCUCACACUGAUGAGCCUCAGCAGUUACAACCUUCUGAAAGCUUUCAUUUGUUUUUACUACUUUCCCAUAUUAGCAGGUGAAAUUUCACUUAUCCUUGCCCUCACCUAAGCCUCAGAGAGGAUUAAAAGCCAUGGACCAGGACAGUUAAUAUUAAAAUAAUCCCACACUUCCUGUCUGAAUGGGGCUUUGUUUGUUUUUGUUCUGAGUGUGAUACUGUCUGACAGGUCAAAGAGCUCUUAAUGCUUCAAACCCUCAUUUGUUAUGAUUUGCACAGAGAUUCAUGGUCUCUACAGAGUGAACCCUAAAAACACUGAUUAUCCUCUGACUUUACCAUAUCACCAGCAGGUGGUUUCAGGUCAGAUUUUAAGAUUUUGGAUUGGUUCAAACUGUCGACAGAUAUUGCACUGACUGGUGUUUAACUACUGAAAAGAUUUCCCCAGAAGAUAAACCCAAAUUACAGUGGAAAUCAUCAAAUAUUACACAACAAGCUGGUGAAAGUUUUCAGUGAAAUGGAUUGUCAUAAAAUUCAGCUGCAGACAUUCGUAGUCCUCAGGGGAUGAACCCUCAACACAAAACCACAUGCAUCGGUUUUGGACUCUAUAAAACUGAAAUAUCUUGAGUAUAAUCACAUGGACUGGACUUUUGUAAACAUAUCCCGAGAGGAUAAUCACAGAUGACAGUGAUGAAUUACUGAUAUUUAACACACAGGGACAUCUAGAAAUCUGUGGUCUCCAGAGGAUGAUCCCUCAAUUCUUUAAACUUCAAAACAACUUCCUGAUGCUGUUUUGUACUCCUUUUCAUCUUCUGAGUGGUUCAAACUGAAAUAUCUCCAGUACAAUUUGGUAGAUUAAUAUUCAAUUUGUAUGCAUAUCCCCAGAGGAUAAACAUAGAUGACAGUGAUGAAGUAAUACACAGAGACACCAAGAAAUUCAUGGUUCCCAGAAAGUCCUCGUUCAAAAAAAAAUGGCAAUCAUCAACAAAUUCAUGACUAAAAUACCUGAACAUCAGGAUUCCCAGCUAAACCCUUGAUUCAGACCUUCCCCCGGACAGCCUGAACCUGGUUCUUUAAACUGAGUCUGGUCCCUGAAGUUGUGAGGACUACUCUGAAUGUGCUCACAAAGCAGAAAUGUCCUCACUGUAAUGGUUUUAGAUACAGAAACAC